GACGAGCUGGACGGCCUGGCCGACAACGAGGACGGCUUCCCCUUCCGACCCAGCAGGACUUCCGAGAUGAGGCCAGCCGUCCGAUACUCGCCAACAGCAACAAAAACAAUUACAAAUACAACGAGUGCCCACGACGUGGAAACUGUGACUGAGCCCAGUAACACUUAUACUACGGUAAGCAUCAAGUGACCGAAGAACAGGGAUUAAAUCGUCAGCAUAUAAGUUGUAUAG